rfam:Strongyloides venezuelensis genome assembly, scaffold: SVE_scaffold0000023
CCAACGGCCCUCUUUAGGGCCAACAUAUGUUUCUUUGUUGUUUUA